AUCAGCAGCUCCACAAUGAUGUGAUCGACUGUCUCCAAGGUGGGGGCUUUUCGUGGCAGCCAGACGAGACAAUCAAAGGAGGAUGUGCCAGGACAUUCGUUACCCGAUUAUCAAAAGCACUCUGGUAUAUGGACCUCCAUCUAGAGAAGUUUAAAGAGGGAGGCUUAGCCAUACCAGACAGAUUACUGCAAUUACCACAAGGCCUUGGAUCCAACAACAGGUACCAGGAAACACAACACAAGACACCAAAACUAAGUCAAAUUCAGCUUCAUUGCAGUCAGCUGUCUAUCUCAAUAUCCCAGCCCUGGGCACACUGGAUUCACUUCACAGUUCUCGGAGAAGAUGUGGUGUGUCUAACAGAGUCCAUAGCAGCUUUUGCAUCCCACUGGGAGAAGGUGAAUCAAGCAAUGACCAGAUGUCACCAACAGCCCACUCCCUACGUACACCAGUCUGAUGUUUUAUGCUACACUGUGAGGGCAUCAUGUAGACCGGUCAGCCCCAAGUCCAGCACUCUGUUACAAGCUUUGGAGAAAGUGCCGCAAUACCACCCUCCUCUUUCUACUGGACUUUGCUCCUGAAGACAGAUUCCGGAGAAGGAAAUGGAUUGACAACUUGAAACUUCCAUUGACUUUCACUGUAUACAAGUAUACCUGUGGUAACCACCUAGGCACUCUGACAUUCAUAUGGAAGGUAUCCUCACAUAGCAAUGGUGUUCAUGAGACCAGGCAAGCUUCUGUCAUCGCCACACUGAGAAAAGAAAUACCAACAUACUCCACACUAGAGCAAUGCAAAAAAACAUUCAUGAACAAAUACGCACACGCUGCAAAGUGAACAGCUACUUCCUGAGAGAAAUGUAUCAGUUUCUGACAGACGACAAGGGUUAAGCAAACGAUGAUGGACAGGGCCUAAUUGAUGAGAGAGUAUCCUUGUUCCUUCUUUUUAAGGAAGCUGAAUGGCAAACCACAAUCCUCAUUUCAGCCCUUUUGGGAUGAAGUACAGAAGUAUUUUAACGAAUACACAGCUCAGGUCAACGAUUGCAGACAUGGGGCGACAGUGGUUUGAGCAUUGGACUAGUAACCGAAAGGUUGCAAGAUCAAAUCCCUGAGCUGAC